CUCCUUGUUUCUUUAUAGCCUCUGGGUUCCCAAAUACAGAAAACAUGACUGCUAUCACCAAAGAGUCAACCCCCCAAGAAAUAACUUCAACUGUGUUUGCAAAUGUAUCCAACCAGAAGGCCACCACCCUAAGUCCUCUUGGAAGUACCACCCUGUACCUUGUCUCUCAGGACAACAGUAGUACCAUUGCAACCAUCUCAGAGACUACAGUCAAUAUCACAUCUACCUCUGAGAUCACCCCAGUGCCCGGGACCACGAGCUCUUCUGUCCAGUCACAGACCUCUUUAGCUAUCACAGUAACUUCUAUCCCAACCAACUUUUCAACUUCAGACAUGACCUUGAAGCCCAGUCUGCUACCUGGAAAUGUUUCGGAUUCCCCAUACAACAGCACCAGCCUUGUGACAUCCCCCACUGAACACUCUACAUCAUUUUCUCUUACCCCAAGUACCAUCAGGGGAGAAAUCAAAUGUUCCCAAGUCAAAGAAGUGAAAUUGACCC